UAAAAAAAGAAGGAAAAAUGUUUUGUUGUCAUCUGCACUACAGAACAUAUGUCCAUAAAUUUUCUCCCAGUUACUUAAAACAGCUUCAUUUCAGUUUUGCUUGCAAUGUCCCUGAAAUAUCGCCAAAUAAAGCUGUAGUUUGCGCAAAUCAGCUAAGGAAGGAGUCCUUUGAAAACUAGGAAGAGGAUUUAACAAAAUACUUCGGCUGAAGGAAGAUUCUGUUCCUACUGUUCGUCACAAAUCUGCAGAUGAUGGCAGAUUUACAUCAUUAUGCCACGUGUUCGGUUCCCCCCCAAAGGACCGGAGUUAAUUCUGCCCCUGACAGCCAGCGCAGUGUACUAAGCCAUUUCUGGAUGCUGGAAAUUGAUUAGUGUGCAGAAGACUUGCCCGUGCCCGUCUCUGUCUCGCACUUUCCCUCCUCCCCUCCAGCCCUGCACAGGCCUGUCUGUCCAUCUCUGGUAUGUUGAGCCAAUCAGCCAGGCGCUCCACACACGCUUAAUGAGCUCACGAGGGACGUGACAUGACUGCAGCGACAAGCGUUCACCGCCUUUCCCCAAAAAAAAGAG